GGGGAUGCAUUGCAUCGACAGGAAUGUACUUUAAAAACUGCAAGCCGACUUUGAUAAUAGUCGCUAAACAAGAUCAAAAUAUAAAUGCUAGAAGCAAUUUUAGCGGUCAAUUGGCUUAUGCCUAUGCGCCUCAAAACGCAUACGUAAACUAAGAAGACCUGUUCAUAGUGUCUUUUCUCAACGAGGCGUUAUGGGCAUAAAUAAAGUUGAGUUAUAGAUAAAGAGUUGGUUGGCUUUUUAUCCGAAAAUUUCAACCUUUGCUUUAUUUGUUUCCUGCCGGUUGGAGAAAAUAUUGCGACAUUUAAAAAUCGGACAAGCUUGUAGAAGUUUUUAAUUAUACUUUCUUGGACUCCGAGUCACUCUCGGACAUCUCCACAC
rnacentral:tmRNA from 2 species